rnacentral:rRNA from 1 species
AAGUUAAUACCUUAAUCAUUUGACGUUACCUACAGAAGAAGCACCGGCUAACUCCGUGCCAGCAGCCGCGGUAAUACGGAGGGUGCAAGCGUUAAUCGGAAUUACUGGGCGUAAAGCGCAUGCAGGUGGUUUGUUAAGUCAGAUGUGAAAGCCCUGGGCUCAACCUAGGAAUCGCAUUUGAAACUGACAAGCUAGAGUACUGUAGAGGGGGGUAGAAUUUCAGGUGUAGCGGUGAAAUGCGUAGAGAUCUGAAGGAAUACCGGUGGCGAAGGCGGCCCCCUGGACAGAUACUGACACUCAGAUGCGAAAGCGUGGGGAG